AAAUGGAAGAAAGGGUUCCCUAUUUAUAGAAAAUAGGGACUGUUUGAUUUGUGCCAAGUGACAAAAUCUAGUGAGGAGAGAGAAAGUUGAGUGAAUGAUGAGUGAUUUGACUUCACAAGAUGACAGUGCAAAAAAUAGAGGAAAAAUCCUCAACUGGUGGCAGUUUUCCAUCCAAGGCAAUGGCGGCACAUCACUCAAGCUGGCACAUGGCACCCAAGGGGCAGUGGGGCACUGCCCAAGGCGGCAGUGCGCCUCCCCAGGCUGGCCGUUCACUGC
rnacentral:lncRNA from 1 species